GAUGAACGCUAGCGGCAGGCUUAACACAUGCAAGUCGAGGGGCAGCAUGAAGGUUAGCAAUAACCUUUGAUGGCGACCGGCGCAAGGGUGCGUAACGCGUGAGCAACUUGCCCGUUUCAGGGGGAUAACCGGUGGAAACGCCGACUAAUACCCCAUGGCAUCAUUAGGAGGCAUCUCCUUCUGGAUUAAAGAAUUUCGGAAACGGAUAGGCUCGCGUGACAUUAGCUAGACGGCGGGGUAACGGCCCACCGUGGCGACGAUGUCUAGGGGUUCUGAGAGGAAGGUCCCCCANACUGGAACUGAGACACGGUCCAGACUCCUACGGGAGGCAGCAGUGAGGAAUAUUGGGUCCAAUGGUCGGAAGACUGAACCAGCCAAGUAGCGUGAAGGAUGAAGGUUCUAUGGAUUGUAAACUUCUUUAUACGGGAAUAAACCACCUACGUGUAGGUGCUUGUAUGUACCGUAUGAAUAAGCAUCGGCUAACUCCGUG
rnacentral:rRNA from 1 species